UACGUAGGGUGCGAGCGUUGCCCGGAUUUAUUGGGCGUAAAGGGCGCGUAGGCGGCCACGCACGUCCGUUGUGAAAUCGCCCGGCUCAACUGGGCGGGGUCGGCGGAUACGGCGUGGCUGGAGCAAGCUAGGGGGCAAUGGAAUUCCCGGUGUAGUGGUAGAAUGCGUAGAUAUCGGGAGGAACACCAGUGGCGAAGGCGGUUGCCUGGAGCUUUGCUGACGCUGAGGCGCGAAAGCGUGGGGAGCGAUCCGG
rnacentral:rRNA from 1 species